rnacentral:rRNA from 1 species
GGGAGCGUUCUGUAAGCCUGUGAAGGUGUGCUGUGAGGCAUGCUGGAGGUAUCAGAAGUGCGAAUGCUGACAUAAGUAACGAUAAAGCGGGUGAAAAGCCCGCUCGCCGGAAGACCAAGGGUUCCUGUCCAACGUUAAUCGGGGCAGGGUGAGUCGACCCCUAAGGCGAGGCCGAAAGGCGUAGUCGAUGGGAAACAGGUUAAUAUUCCUGUACUUGGUGUUACUGCGAAGGGGGGACGGAGAAGGCUAUGUUGGCCGGGCGACGGUUGUCCCGGUUUAAGCGUGUAGGCUGGUUUUCCAGGCAAAUCCGGAAAAUCAAGGCUGAGGCGUGAUGACGAGGCACUACGGUGCUGAAGCAACAAAUGCCCUGCUUCCAGGAAAAGCCUCUAAGCAUCAGGUAACAUCAAAUCGUACCCCAAACCGACACAGGUGGUCAGGUAGAGAAUACCAAGGCGCUUGAGAGAACUCGGGUGAAGGAACUAGGCAAAAUGGUGCCGUAACUUCGGGAGAAGGCACGCUGAUAUGUAGGUGAAGUCCCUCGCGGAUGGAGCUGAAAUCAGUCGAAGAUACCAGCUGGCUGCAACUGUUUAUUAAAAACACAGCACUGUGCAAACACGAAAGUGGACGUAUACGGUGUGACGCCUGCCCGGUGCCGGAAGGUUAAUUGAUGGGGUUAGCCGCAAGGCGAAGCUCUUGAUCGAAGCCCCGGUAAACGGCGGCCGUAACUAUAACGGUCCUAAGGUAGCGAAAUUCCUUGUCGGGUAAGUUCCGACCUGCACGAAUGGCGUAAUGAUGGCCAGGCUGUCUCCACCCGAGACUCAGUGAAAUUGAACUCGCUGUGAAGAUGCAGUGUACCCGCGGCAAGACGGAAAGACCCCGUGAACCUUUACUAUAGCUUGACACUGAACAUUGAGCCUUGAUGUGUAGGAUAGGUGGGAGGCUUUGAAGUGUGGACGCCAGUCUGCAUGGAGCCGACCUUGAAAUACCACCCUUUAAUGUUUGAUGUUCUAACGUGACCCGUAUCCGGGUUGCGGACAGUGUCUGGUGGGUAGUUUGACUGGGGCGGUCUCCUCCUAAAGAGUAACGGAGGAGCACGAAGGUUGGCUAAUCCUGGUCGGACAUCAGGAGGUUAGUGCAAUGGCAUAAGCCAGCUUGACUGCGAGCGUGACGGCGCGAGCAGGUGCGAAAGCAGGUCAUAGUGAUCCGGUGGUUCUGAAUGGAAGGGCCAUCGCUCAACGGAUAAAAGGUACUCCGGGGAUAACAGGCUGAUACCGCCCAAGAGUUCAUAUCGACGGCGGUGUUUGGCACCUCGAUGUCGGCUCAUCACAUCCUGGGGCUGAAGUAGGUCCCAAGGGUAUGGCUGUUCGCCAUUUAAAGUGGUACGCGAGCUGGGUUUAGAACGUCGUGAGACAGUUCGGUCCCUAUCUGCCGUGGGCGCUGGAGAACUGAGGGGGGCUGCUCCUAGUACGAGAGGACCGGAGUGGACGCAUCACUGGUGUUCGGGUUGUCAUGCCAAUGGCACUGCCCGGUAGCUAAAUGCGGAAGAGAUAAGUGCUGAAAGCAUCUAAGCACGAAACUUGCCCCGAGAUGAGUUCUCCCUGACUCCUUGAGAGUCCUGAAGGAACGUUGAAGACGACGACGUUGAUAGGCCGGGUGUGUAAGCGCAGCGAUGCGUUGAGCUAACCGGUACUAAUGAACCGUGAGGCUUAACCUU